AUGCAAGUAAAGCAUUUCUAAAAGUGCUCUCGUUCCACAUUUUCGAACGCCAAUAAUUAAGCACUGUAAUAAAUAAUAAAAAUAACGGGAAUGAAAAUUUUCAUUUUCAUAACAAUUAAUAAAAAUAGACCUGUGGUAAUCUCCUAUUGGUUUUAGAAAAGUGUAUCCUAUUGUUGCUAUUAUAUUCGUUGUUUAAGCUAUUUGAUGCUAUCAAUGGUGGAGAUACGUGAGCUAAAAUUGAAAAAUACGACUCAGAGUCCGAAUCGUUUUUCCGAAAAUUUUGUAUUGUAGAUGUCUGUAAAAAAAAAUAUUUAGCAAAAACAAGAGCACUGUCAUAUAGUAUAUGAAAUGUUAAAAAUAAAGAAACAAGCAUCACAGAAAUAAACACAGCUGUCAAUUUAGGACGCGAGAAACCUAUUACUAAAAUAAAGUCUUGGUGGUUUAGGUCGUGAUACCCCGAUUUGGGGUUCAUUGCUGUUUUAGGUAACCAUCUAAAAACAGAAUAUUGUUUUUUGUUUUAUUAAAUUUUUAUAAAGAACAUUUAUUUAAUGUUCUAUUUACAUAUAUAAUAUCUAACGGUAGCUUGAAUGAACAAGUUCUUUGUGUCUUACUGCGAAUAGGCAUUAAUUUAUUUUCUUGGCGAAAGUACGUUAGGAUAUUAGGAUAAAUACUAUUGAAUCAUUAUAUUUUAUGUAUAUAUUAUG